rnacentral:rRNA from 1 species
CAGUAGCCGCGGUAAUACGGAGGGUGCAGGCGUUAAUCGGAAUUACUGGGCGUAAAGCGCACGCAGGCGGUUUGUUAAGUCAGAUGUGAAAUCCCCGAGCUUAACUUGGGAACUGCAUUUGAAACUGGCAAGCUAGAGUCUUGUAGAGGGGGGUAGAAUUCCAGGUGUAGCGGUGAAAUGCGUAGAGAUCUGGAGGAAUACCGGUGGCGAAGGCGGCCCCCUGGACAAAGACUGACGCUCAGGUGCGAAAGCGUGGGGAGCAAACAGGAUUAGAUACCCCUGUAGUCCCUGUCUCUUAUAC